UACGUAGGGUGCAAGCGUUAAUCGGAAUUACUGGGCGUAAAGGGCGCGUAGGCGGCCUGCUAAGUCGAACGUGAAAUCCCCGAGCUCAACUCGGGAACUGCGUCCGAUACUGGCAGGCUUGAAUCCGGGAGAGGGAUGCGGAAUUCCAGGUGUAGCGGUGAAAUGCGUAGAUAUCUGGAGGAACACCGAUGGCGAAGGCAGGUCUCUGGGCCGAUACUGACGCUGAGGAGCGAAAGCGUGGGGAGCGAACAGG
rnacentral:rRNA from 1 species